GACGAACGCUGGCGGCGUGCUUAACACAUGCAAGUCGAACGGAAAGGCCCUGCUUUUGUGGGGUGCUCGAGUGGCGAACGGGUGAGUAACACGUGAGUAACCUGCCCUUGACUUUGGGAUAACUUCAGGAAACUGGGGCUAAUACCGGAUAGGAGCUCCUGCUGCAUGGUGGGGGUUGGAAAGUUUCGGCGGUUGGGGAUGGACUCGCGGCUUAUCAGCUUGUUGGUGGGGUAGUGGCUUACCAAGGCUUUGACGGGUAGCCGGCCUGAGAGGGUGACCGGCCACAUUGGGACUGAGAUACGGCCCAGACUCCUACGGGAGGCAGCAGUGGGGAAUAUUGCACAAUGGGCGGAAGCCGGAUGCAGCAACGCCGCGUGCGGGAGGACGGCCUUCGGGUUGUAAACCGCUUUCGCCUGUGACGAAGCGUGAGUGACGGGAAUGGGUAAAGAAGCACAGGAGAACUACGU
rnacentral:rRNA from 1 species